UAAAAAGGGAAGUGUCGGCUGAGACUCCCAUUUUUGCUGCUGCAACCAAAAUGAAAACAGAGAGGGAGAAGAAGGAAAGAAGAAGGCAAAGAAGGAAGGAAGGAAGGAAGGAAGGAAGGAAGAAGUAUAAGAAGAAGAAGAAGAAGAGAGAAAGCUGCACCUACCACUGACGCGGCUGCUACUCCUCUGCUUUGCUGCUGCUGCUCUUCCAUCUAUGUUGUUAGAGGAAGAAAAGGUUGCCAGAGGACAUUGCCAUAGCUGGGGAGUUGACCUCAGAGCUAGCAAACUGUUGCUUGUGAUGCAUGCAUACUUCAAGAACAUAAGAGAGUUCUCGGACUGAAGACUGGAAACACGACCAGGUUUUGGCUUGCGGCCACCCAUUCAUGUUUGUGUAUCACAUGCCAGUCUAACUGGAGGGGACUUUUACCUUUCGAUCCAAGACGAUGAUGAUGCAGGUAUCGUGGUGCCUAUGGUGUGUGACCUAGUAUCUUCUAGGUCAGAGUAUAGUGUGAGCGACUAGUGGAUGCUAGAAGCAGGAGAGCAUGAUCAGGACUGUGCUUGCGACCACUGUGCUUA